CCUGUUUUAUAAGUGAUAGCAACUCUUUUUAGCAAACCCGCUUUUAUCAUUAAUCUUUAAUUAGAUGAAAUGAAUAGAGCUAAAUUACUCAUAAAUAAAUUAGGAUAUUCUUAUGUCUACUACUACUGGUACAGUAAAAUGGUUUAACGAAGCUAAAGGUUUCGGUUUCAUCGAGCAAGAAAAUGGCCCUGACGUUUUUGCUCACUUCAACGCGAUUGUUGGUGAAGGUUUCAAAACUUUAGCUGAAGGUCAAAAAGUUGAAUUCACAGUUACUGAAGGUCAAAAAGGCCCUCAAGCUGAGAACAUUGUAGCUCUUUAAUUUUUAUUAAUUAAAAGCACAAAAA
rnacentral:sRNA from 1 species